rnacentral:rRNA from 1 species
UACGUAGGGUGCAAGCGUUGUCCGGAAUUAUUGGGCGUAAAGAGCUCGUAGGCGGUUUGUUGCGUCGGCUGUGAAAUCCCGAGGCUCAACCUCGGGUCUGCAGUCGAUACGAGCAAACUAGAGUGUUGCAGGGGAGACUGGAAUUCCUGGUGUAGCGGUGAAAUGCGCAGAUAUCAGGAGGAACACCGGUGGCGAAGGCGGCGUCCUGGACCAAUACUGACACUGAAAGCGAAAGCCAGGGGAGCAAACGGG